UACGUAGGGUGCGAGCGUUGUCCGGAAUUAUUGGGCGUAAAGGGCUCGUAGGCGGUUUGUCGCGUCGGGAGUGAAAACACCGGGCUUAACUCGGUGCUUGCUUUCGAUACGGGCAGACUAGAGGCAUGCAGGGGAGAACGGAAUUCCUGGUGGUAGCGGUGGAAAUGCGCAGAUAUCAGGAGGAACACCGGUGGCGAAGGCGGUUCUCUGGGCAUGUCCUGACGCUGAGGAGCGAAAGCGUGGGG
rnacentral:rRNA from 1 species